rnacentral:lncRNA from 1 species
GGGUGGUGGGGAGUUGUAAUAGUAUGGAGGUGGGGGUGAUGGCGAUGGUGGAGGUGGGGACUUAUAGUAGUACGGAGGAGGAGGUGAGGGUGAUGGAGGUGGUGGUGACUUAUAGUAGUAUGGUGGGGGUGGUGAAGGCGAUGGUGGGGGUGGCGAUUUGUAAUAAUAGGGAGGCUUGUAGUGGUGCUUUGGUGGUGGUGGUGACUUGUAGUAGUAAUGCUUAGGUGGUGGGGGAGACUUAUAUUUAUAAGGCGACGGUGGGGGUGGCGAUUUGUAAUAGUAUGGAGGCUUGUAGUGGUGCUUUGGCGGUGGGGGUGGGGACUUGUAUUUGUAUGGUGAUGGUGGGGGUGGCGAUUUGUAAUAAUAAGGAGGCUUGUAGUGGUGGUAUGGAGGUGGGGGUGAUGGGCGAUGGUGGAGGUGUGGACUUAUAUUAGUACUGAUGGAGGAGUGAGGGUGAUGGAGGUGGUGGUGACUUAUAGUAGUAUGGUGGGGGUGUGUGAAGGCUCUUGUGGGGUGCGAUUUAAUAAUAGGGAGGCUUGUAGUGGGGCUUUUGGUGUGGUGGUGACUUGUAGUAUAUGCUUAGGGGGUGGGUGGUGGGGGAGACUUAUAUUUAUAAGGCGACGGUGGGGUGCGAUUUGUACUAGGUAUGGCGGCGUGGUGCAAUGUGCUUUGGCGUGUGGGUGGUGGGGGACUUGUAUUUUGUAUGGUGAUGGUGGGGGUGGCGAUUUGUAUAAUAAGGGCUUGUCGUGGUGGUAGGGAGGUGGGGUGCGGUGAUUUGUAAUACAAGGAUGCUUGUAUGGUGGUACUGUGGAGUCGGCGACUUGUAGUAGUAACGGAGGGGAGGCGAUGGUGAUGGUGGAGGUGGUGACUUUGUAGAUGUAGGGAGGUGGGUGAUGAGAUGGUGGGGGUUGGUGAUGGAUAGUAGAAGGCGGUGGCGGCGAGGGGAGUAUGGGGUGGUGGGGAGUUGUAAUAGUUGGAGGUGGGGGUGAUGGCGAUGGUGAGGUGGGGACUUAAUAGUGUACGGAGGGGAGUGAGGGUGAUGGAGGUGUGUUGACUUAUAGUAGUAUGGUGGGGGUGGUGAAGGCGAUGGUGUGGGUGGCGAUUUGUAAUAAUAGGGAGGCUUGUAGUGGUGCUUUGUGGUGGUGGGUGGACUUGUAGUAGUAAUGCUUAGGUGGUGGGGGAGACUUAUAUUUAUAAGGCGACGGUGGGUGGCGAUUUGUAAUUAUAUGGAAGGCUUGUAAUGGUGCUUUGGCGGUGGGGGUGGUGGACUUGUCUUUGUAUGUGAUGGUGGGGGUGGCGAUUUGUAAUAAUAAGGAGGCUUGUAGUGGUGGUAUGGAGGUGGGGGCGGUGAUUUGUAAUAAUAAGGAUGCUUGUAGUGGUGGUACGGUGGAGGCGGCGACUUGUAGUAGUAGGGUGAGGGUGGCGGUGGAGAUGCGUAAGUGUAAGGUUUAUAGUCAGCUGCUACAAAUGUAGCUAAAAAACAUAUUGCCAAGGCACAUAGUGCCAUUGGCAAAGUGGCCAUUUCAAAAACUCCUAUAUGAAGACUUUCUAAGGCUAGUAGUGUUU